rnacentral:rRNA from 1 species
GAUGAACGCUGGCGGCGUGCCUAAUACAUGCAAGUCGAGCGAACGGACGAGAAGCUUGCUUCUCUGAUGUUAGCGGCGGACGGGUGAGUAACACGUGGAUAACCUACCUAUAAGACUGGGAUAACUUCGGGAAACCGGAGCUAAUACCGGAUAAUAUUUUGAACCGCAUGGUUCAAAAGUGAAAGACGGUCUUGCUGUCACUUAUAGGUGGAUCCGCGCUGCAUUAGCUAGUUGGUAAGGUAACGGCUUACCAAGGCAACGAUGCAUAGCCGACCUGAGAGGGUGAUCGGCCACACUGGAACUGAGACACGGUCCAGACUCCUACGGGAGGCAGCAGUAGGGAAUCUUCCGCAAUGGGCGAAAGCCUGACGGAGCAACGCCGCGUGAGUGAUGAAGGUCUUCGGAUCGUAAAACUCUGUUAUUAGGGAAGAACAUAUGUGUAAGUAACUGUGCACAUCUUGACGGUACCUAAUCAGAAAGCCACGGCUAACUACGUGCCAGCAGCCGCGGUAAUACGUAGGUGGCAAGCGUUAUCCGGAAUUAUUGGGCGUAAAGCGCGCGUAGGCGGUUUUUUAAGUCUGAUGUGAAAGCCCACGGCUCAACCGUGGAGGGUCAUUGGAAACUGGAAAACUUGAGUGCAGAAGAGGAAAGUGGAAUUCCAUGUGUAGCGGUGAAAUGCGCAGAGAUAUGGAGGAACACCAGUGGCGGAGGCGACUUUCUGGUCUGUAACUGACGCUGAUGUGCGAAAGCGUGGGGAUCAAACAGGAUUAGAUACCCUGGUAGUCCACGCCGUAAACGAUGAGUGCUAUGUGUUAGGGGGUUUCCGCCCCUUAGUGCUGCAGCUAACGCAUUAAGCACUCCGCCUGGGGAGUACGACCGCAAGGUUGAAACUCAAAGGAAUUGACGGGGACCCGCACAAGCGGUGGAGCAUGUGGUUUAAUUCGAAGCAACGCGAAGAACCUUACCAAAUCUUGACAUCCUUUGACAACUCUAGAGAUAGAGCCUUCCCCUUCGGGGGACAAAGUGACAGGUGGUGCAUGGUUGUCGUCAGCUCGUGUCGUGAGAUGUUGGGUUAAGUCCCGCAACGAGCGCAACCCUUAAGCUUAGUUGCCAUCAUUAAGUUGGGCACUCUAAGUUGACUGCCGGUGACAAACCGGAGGAAGGUGGGGAUGACGUCAAAUCAUCAUGCCCCUUAUGAUUUGGGCUACACACGUGCUACAAUGGACAAUACAAAGGGCAGCGAAACCGCGAGGUCAAGCAAAUCCCAUAAAGUUGUUCUCAGUUCGGAUUGUAGUCUGCAACUCGACUACAUGAAGCUGGAAUCGCUAGUAAUCGUAGAUCAGCAUGCUACGGUGAAUACGUUCCCGGGUCU